rnacentral:lncRNA from 1 species
CAGGACUCUAAGGAAUAAGGAGUUAAGUAUGUGGGCAUUUUGCAAGGUCCUGAUCUUUUUUCCCUCUGUUUAAAUUAAUUUCCACCCCCUACCUCCCACUAAUCAGUUCAUGACUCUGAAGCUUCAGGUCGACUCACGAUUGCUGCUCGCCUGUCACUCCCAGGGCUACAGUCUGGCACAGGUGUUUCCAUUCCUCCUCUGUCACCUCCCGAAUCCAUCCACAGCCAUGGUUCUCCCUUGAAAGAAGAAACUGCCGCGGAGUCGCAUCUAGUCCCUUACUGUGUGAAAGUCGGUGUCUUGGCCUAACACAGAAGCAUUUUUUACUAUUUCUCUUCUAGAAGUUUGGAGUGUGCACAAGCCUCACAUCACGCUGAGAGGCGCUCUCACAGGCGGUGCCUCUGUGCAAUCUGCGGAAAAGGGUGAAGAAACUUUAUGGACAAAAGAUGGAAGGAAGCCUGGAGGAUCAAGAAACUCAGCAAACCUAUUAAGUACUGAAAUGAUCUCUGAUCUCUUUACGGAGGAGGAAAUGAAGGAAGAGAGAGUCGAAGUAACACGCCCCCAAGCACCCAGCUGAUACGCAAUGACUCCAGAUUCAAACCCAGGCAUUCUGACUCUGAGGAAUACAGACCCUACCAACUGAUAGCACUUGGUAAGGAUCAAAUAAAGUCAAAACAUGAAAAUGUCUUAUAAACUAU